UACAGAGGGUGCGAGCGUUUAAUCGGAAUUACUGGGCGUAAAGCGUGCGUAGACGGUUAUUUAAGUCGGGUGUGAAAGCCCCGGGCUCAACCUGGGAAUUGCAUUCGAGACUGAAUAGCUAGGGUACGGUAGAGGGAAGUGGAAUUUCCGGUGUAGCGGUGAAAUGCGUAGAUAUCGGAAGGAACAUCAGUGGCGAAAGCGACUUCCUGGACCAGUACCGACGUUCAGGCACGAAAGCGUGGGGAGCAA
rnacentral:rRNA from 1 species